UAAGCCGGAAAACGCAGGGCGGAAGUGCGUCAGGGGCGGCUCGCCCCAGCGCGCCGCCCUCCAGGUCCCGCCGCCUACCGCCCCGGGCGGCCCAGGGCGGCCCGUGUUGAGUUCUGUGUCGCCUCGAAGCCCCUCGGGCGUGUCGAGCCCGCCCGGCCAGGCCAUUCACUCUGCCUUGCCUCCCCAGCGGCACUCGGGCCUCCACUAGCUUCGCUGGCGUUAGCACAUUCUGUUUUUGUUUUGUUUUUUUUGCGGUACGCGGGCCUCUCACUGUUGUGGCCUCUCCCGUUGCGGAGCACAGGCUCCGGACGCGCAGGCUCAGCGGCCAUGGCUCACGGGCCCACCCGCUCCGCGGCAUGUGGGAUCUUCCCGGACCGGGGCACGAACCCGUGUCCUCUACAUCGGCAGGCGGACUCUCAACCACUGCGCCACCAGGGAAGCCCUGCACAUUCUGUUUUGACCACGCCCGGAAGACUUGGGAAGUGUUCCUCAUCCUUAGAACUGUCUCUACAAAACCACCUGAAUUAACAACCUAAAAAUGCUUUUGAUGCUGUUGAACUUGCCCACAAUAAAAACAGUAAAACUAAUCUACGGUGGAAAAAAAAAUCAGAACAGUAUUUGCCUCUGAAGUUGUGAGGAUGAAAGAAGAAACAUGAGGGAAUUUGUUGGACUGUUGGGAAUAUUCUGUAUCUUGAUCAGGAUUUGUGUUACACAAAUGUAUCCACUUGUCAAAAAUCACUGAAUGGUAUACUUGAGAAACUAAGAGAAGUUACGUAACUUGUCCAGAAUCACACAGCUUGACAAUGAGGAUUUAAAACCAAGUCUGGGGGCUUCCCUGGUGGCACAGUGGUUAAGAAUCCGCCUGCCAAUGCAGGGGACAUGGGUCUGGGAAGAUCCCGCAUACCGCGGAGCAACUAAGCCCGUGCGCCACGACUACUGAAGCCCGCGCGCCUAGAGCCCGUGCUCCGCAAUAGGACAAGCCACUGCAAUGAGAAGCCCACACACCGCAACGAAGAGUUACCCCCGAUCUCCACAACUAGAGAAAGCCCUCUUGCAACAACGAAGA